CAGCACCUCAAGUGGUCAGGAUGAUUAUUGGGCCUAAAGCAUCCGUAGCCGGCUCUGUAAGUUUUCGGUUAAAUCUGUAUGCUCAACAUACAGGCUGCCGGGAAUACUGCAGAGCUAGGGAGUGGGAGAGGUAGACGGUACUCGGUAGGAAGGGGUAAAAUCCUUUGAUCUAUUGAUGACCACCUGUGGCGAAGGCGGUCUACCAGAACACGUCCGACGGUGAGGGAUGAAAGCUGGGGGAGCGAUCCGGAUUAGAUACCCGAGUAGUCC
rnacentral:rRNA from 1 species